rnacentral:misc_RNA from 1 species
GUUUCAUCUCAAGUUGUUCGACAGAAUUUACGCCCGGAGAUCCCUAGAUGUUGCCCAAAUUCAUUUGCAAGCAUCAUGCGUAAGUGUUGGGAUGCAAAUGCAGACAAACGUCCUGAGAUGGACGGGGUAGUGAGGCUGCUAGAAGCAAUAGACACGAGCAAAGGAGGAGGCAUGAUUCCUGAAGAUCAAUCCACUGGCUGUUUCUGUUUUAGUUCAGUUCGUGGACCAUGACUUCUUUUAACCUUCCAUUCCUGAUAUAUACUUGCGAAAUACUGAAGCAGUUCAUGGCCAGACUUCAGCUGGUCUUUGCAUAGCUAACUAAAGAUUCCAGCUUUGUUGGACACAGAAUUGAGAAUGCAGAGGAAUUUCUGGUCCUAGUCAAGUCUUGAAAUUUUAAAAUUUGGUUACCGUAAUCGUUAUUGCUGGACGAAAUUCAGGAAUUGGAAGAUUGGAAUUCCAUAUUUGUAUAACAUUCGUCAAACUGGUUUCAAACAUUCUAUUCAGAUUGUAGCCUUGAUAAUUCAUUAUGAGUUGAUAUAUAUGGUAGCUGAAAAUUGGGGGGUUUUAAAAAAAAAAAAAAAAA